AUGAAUAAGAAGGCACACAGACUAGCUAUAUCAAGUGCAGACUGCUCUAAUGUUGUCGUUGCUGUUGGAGAGUACCACCAGGGGCACGCAAUAUCUGUCGGUUUUGAGAUGAAGCUCUCACAACUACUCAAACAAGACGGAUCCGUUUCCGUUGAGGAUGUCAUAUAUAUGGAGGCUACCGCUACCACUGGCGUUGUCGGGUAG